CCUACGGGAGGCAGCAGUGGGGAAUAUUGGACAAUGGGGGCAACCCUGAUCCAGCCAUGCCGCGUGUGUGAAGAAGGCCCUCGGGUUGUAAAGCACUUUCAGUGAGGAAGAACGCCUGGUGGUUAAUACCCAUCAGGAAAGACAUCACUCACAGAAGAAGCACCGGCUAACUCCGUGCCAGCAGCCGCGGUAAUACGGAGGGUGCGAGCGUUAAUCGAAAUUACUGGGCGUAAAGCGCGCGUAGGUGGCUUGAUAAGCCGGUUGUGAAAGCCCCGGGCUCAACCUGGGAACGGCAUCCGGAACUGUCAAGCUAGAGUGCAGGAGAGGAAGGUAGAAUUCCCGGUGUAGCGGUGAAAUGCGUAGAGAUCGGGAGGAAUACCAGUGGCGAAGGCGGCCUUCUGGACUGACACUGACACUGAGGUGCGAAAGCGUGGGUAGCAAACAGGAUUAGAUACCCUGGUAGUC
rnacentral:rRNA from 1 species